rnacentral:rRNA from 1 species
CCUACGGGUGGCUGCAGUCGAGAAUCAUUCACAAUGGGGGAAACCCUGAUGGAGCGACGCCGCGUGGGGGAAUGAGGGUCUUCGGAUUGUAAACCCUUGUCAUGUGGGAGCAAAUGACAAAGAUUGUCCCACAAGAGGAAGAGACGGCUAACUCUGUGGCAGCAGGCGAGGUUAUACAGAAGUCUCAAGCGUUGUUCGGAGUUACUGGGCGUAAAGCGUGCGUAGGCUGUUGCGUAAGUCGGAUGUGAAAGGCGCGGGCUCAACCCGCGGACGGCACAUGAUACUGCGAGACUAGAGUAAUGGAGGGGUAACCGGAAUUCUCGGUGUAGCAGUGAAAUGCGUAGAUAUCGAGAGGAACACUCGUGGCGAAGGCGGGUUCCUGGACAUUAACUGACGCUGAGGCACGAAGGCCAGGGGAGCGAAAGGGAUUAGAUACCCCUGUAGUC